rnacentral:pre_miRNA from 1 species
GAUGGGUCGUCUUGAAAUGGUAAAGAGUGUCAAUCAUCGUCUUUACCAUUUCAAGAUGACCUAUU